AUUGAACGCUGGCGGCAGGCUUAACACAUGCAAGUCGAGCGGGGUGAAGUGCUUCGGUACUGAUCCUAGCGGCGGACGGGUGCGUAAUGCUUAGGAAUCUGCCAUUUAGUGGGGGACAACAUUCCGAAAGGAAUGCUAAUACCGCAUACGUCCUACGGGGGAAAGCAGGGGAUCUUCGGACUGUGCGCUAACUGCUGAGCCUAAGUCGGAGUAGCUAGUUGGUGGGGUAAAGGCCUACCAGGGCGACGAUCUGUGGCGGGUCUGAGGGGAUGAUCCGCCAUACUGGUACUGAGGCACGGCCCAGACUCCUACGGGAGGCAGCAGUGGGGAAUAUUGGACAAUGGGCGGAAGCCUGAUCCAGCGAUGCCGCGUGUGUGAAGAAGGCCUUUUGGUUGUAAAGCACUUUAAGCGAGGAGGAGGCUACCUGGAUUAAUACUCUGGGAUAGUGGACGUUACUCGCAGAAUAAGCACCGGCUAACUCUGUGCCAGCAGCCGCCGUAA
rnacentral:rRNA from 1 species